GCAGUACUCUCUUCAAUCUCAGGAUCUCUGCGGAAGUAGAGAUCCAAUAGGACUGAGGGAGUGUGCUCCCGGAAAAUGGUACCGCACAUGCGCAGAAUCUCCGCGCCCAGAAUUCGCCGCACCUGACCCACUGAGUAGGUGCUUAUUGUUGUUGUGUGAGGGCACCAAAUCCACAUAGCACAGAGGAGAAUCUGUGUUAACAGACUAAUGGUUGGCAAGUUAACUUAAGACGCCACGGUAAGAAGCUUGUGCUCAGUUCUGGGAUAUAGUUAACUUCUGGAAGUUGCAGCUCCCAGAAAGAGGCCUGGACCUGAUUAGUGAAGUUUCCAGGAGUAACGUGGCCAGCAAUAGAAGUGGCCCCACCGGCAAAUACAAUUUAAGAACAGCCCACUGGCCAGUAUUCUUGAAGGAUAUGAUACUGAGCAUCAGCUGGAUUUUCAGUGGCAACAGCGGAAGAAACUGCCGAAAGAAGGUUCUUCCUGGUUCUCUUCAGAUCUGUGAAGUAGAUGCCAUCACUUUUCCUUUUGAUGUCACGGGGUCUGGACAUAGCAAACAUUUCCCUUUCUCACAGGCACCUAGGACAAUGUUGUAUGGACUCCUCUCCGAGCAGCAGGAAAAGAUGUGUUCAACCCAAAACUACAUUUCCCAGUGACAUUGCACCCGAGAGUGAUCAACCAGUUGAAGCAUAAAUGAGGUAA